rnacentral:rRNA from 1 species
CAGGGGGGUGCAAACGUUGCUCGGAAUUAUUGGGCGUAAAGCGCGCGUAGGCGGCUACUUAAGUCGGAUGUGAAAGCCCCUGGCUCAACUGGGGAAGUGCACCCGAAACUGAGUGGCUUGAGUGCGAAAGAGGGUCGCGGAAUUCCCGGUGUAGAGGUGAAAUUCGUAGAUAUCGGGAGGAACACCGGUGGCGAAGGCGGCGACCUGGGUCGACACUGACGCUGAGGCGCGAAAGCGUGGGGAGCAAACAGGUUUAGAUACCCUGGUAGUCCACGCCGUAAACGAUGGGUGCUAGAUGUUUCUGGUAUUGACCCCGGAGGCGUCGUAGCUAACGCGUUAAGCACCCCGCCUGGGAAGUACGGCCGCAAGGCUA